ACGUACGGCCAUAGAUCAAAGAAAACAUCGGAUCCCGUCCGCUCUCCUGCAAUCAAGCUUUGAAUCGGUAGAUUAGUAGUUAGGUGGGUGACCACUAGCGAAUACCUACUGCUGUACGUU
rnacentral:rRNA from 1 species